UACGUAGGGGGCAAGCGUUGUCCGGAUUUAUUGGGCGUAAAGAGCGUGUAGGCGGCCAGGUAGGUCCGUUGUGAAAACUCGAGGCUCAACCUCGAGACGUCGAUGGAAACCAUCUGGCUAGAGUCCGGAAGAGGAGAGUGGAAUUCCUGGUGUAGCGGUGAAAUGCGCAGAUAUCAGGAAGAACACCCGUGCGAAGGCGGCUCUCUGGGACGGUACUGACGCUGAGACGCGAAAGCGUGGGGAGCGAACAGG
rnacentral:rRNA from 1 species